UUUUGAAUGAUUUGCAGUUUUCCACUAAAAAACAGAAUUCUUUUUCAAUAUAAACCAUGGAUUCUGCUUUCAAGAUCUCGCUUUUGCUAUUAGCUUUGUUGAUAGCACAUUCGCUAUCAACAAACGAAGAAGACAGACCUUUUUGUGCGAACAAGUUGAACAUGAUAUGGCAAAAGCUCCAAAACAAGAUGUCUGCCAACAAACUACAAGACUUGAAGCGAGCAUUAAGUGAUCAAGACCGAAAAGAGAUGAACUGGAAAGAACUGAAACUUCAUGGAGGGGACGCAGAUGGAGAAAUUGAAGCAGGUUUAAGACGUACUUUGUUUAAAAUACUUGAAGWWUACGGACAUGGGAAGUUGGUUGGCAAAGUUCCUGAACCUACUGACCCUCGAGUUGAGGACAACACAGUGAGGGGUGAAGACGAUUUUAGUGAUGCUAGACUAAAGCAUUUAUGGAAAUUGGCUAAYAGACAUGGCAAAUUUGAUGAAGAAGAAAUGGCUGAACUAAGAACAGAGUUUGAACACCACAAAGAAAGGAUAAAUGAAUACAAUCUGUUAUUYAAUACUCUACAAGAACAACAUGAAAUUUCUGAUAACUCAAUAAAAAGUCARGACAGAUUAAAGGAACAUGAAGUUGACCAACUAAAAAAUYAACUCAAAGAUAAAUAUGUAGCAAUGAAAAAACACUACYUAAAGCUUAAGGAAAGAGUUACUGGAGAAGUUGUUCAYUCWCCUUUCAGAGACUACAGAGUAAUUGAGCUUUGGGAAAAAGCCAAAGCAAAUAAUUUCACAGAGGACGAGUUAGAAUCUAUCAAGGAAGAGUUGAGGCACUUUGAAAACAAAAUAGGCAAGCAUGAGCAUUUCAAGAAUGRMGCKAAGAAAUCKGAAAAGAAACUSAGUGAAGGCAUCGAUAUUGAUCACGAAGCUUAUAAAUCAUAUGCCAAGAAAGCAAAAGAACACUUCAAAUAUGUGAAGAAAAUGCAUCACACWCUUCUGGAAAAAGUCUCAAGAAGACAAGAAUUAUGAGCUCUUUUUGUCACUUUUGCACAAUGAAAGAUAAAUGUCUSUAUCUUAUACUUGGUAUGCUCCUAUUGCAAGUGCAAUACAGGGGUCAGCUAGGUAUCAAGAUACUCUAGACAGGUAAGCCAAUAGAAAAUGAGAAAGUUUGCAUUGUUUUAUUACAUCAUUAAGUAUGGKUUGCUGUUUGAUUAAUAUUAUCAGUGAAAUAAAGAAAACUGGYAUGUUGGGAGAACAUGAACACAGGCCUAAAAAUUCAUGAGCGCAGCUAUCGGUUUUUGCGUUUUUUGAUGUAGACAUUCUAUAAAUGAAUAACUAGAUAUAUGUCAUACCUGAUGCCAAAUAGCCAGGUCUUUAGCUUUGUCUUUUUCCUCUGGUAGUACAUCCAUUACCAAAGCAAAAUCCACUGCACAGUAUGCCCCAAAACCAAUACCUAAACACAAUGAUAGAAUAUAUUACAAUGAAGACAACACUGUUUAUACUACACAUGACGAUAUUGUUAUGCUAAGGAAUUAAUUGAAAAAAACUGCAUAACAUGUAGUAAAUCAAAUGCUAAUGCAAAGGAACCACAUUAAUCCACCCAAAAAAGGGAUAAUGAAAAGUGGCCAUGUUAAUGGGGUGGCCAUAUUUACUGGAUAGAAAUAAUAUUAUAAGUUAAGGACUUAGUGAAAUUGAUGCAGUAAGAUUUGAUAAUGUGCAAUGUAUUUACCAAAGGUUAAAGCCACUGGAAUUGCUGCAUAAAAUGCAUAACGUCCUUGUAGAAAMGCUAGUAUUACUGCACAAAUACUCAUCAAUGCAGCUGAAAUUGUACAACAAAACAUUCAUAAUCAUUACRUAUAAAGUACUUUCAAUGCUUACAAAUGAUGCAGUGUACAAAACAUAAAUGCAAUGUAUCAGUCAGAAAUAUCUACAUUGUUAAAUCAUGUAUGUAGUGAACUUUGGAAGCAUUUGUUAAGUAAAGUUCAACUAACUAGUAUACAUAGUUUGCAAAAAUGGAUUUGCAAUAUAUAGUGACAUCCAUUUGAAAAGUGUACUAUUAAAACCUKCAACACUAGUGGCCCUUAAGUUAUGGAAAAGCUUAAAAUGAAUGAUUAAAACACAUACAUGAACCAAUGA